CAGACAAGUAAACGGAAGUGAACAAGGCUAAGAACAACUUCCACGUUAGCGGUUUUAUUUAGACGUUUUAACAUCCUGGAACUUAAAAUCGGAUUAAUUGAACUGUACAUCAUCACCCCGUGUAGUGUUUAGUUCGAGUUUGAGACAGGACUUAUUUGAUAGCUAACUAGCUAACAAUGGCUAACUGUAUGAUUUUUCACACUCAAAUAGCCUCCAUCAUGGAGGUUCUAGCGAAUGCAGCCGUGGCAGAGAUCUGUAAACUCGUAGACGACGACUAUGCAGUGUUUCGUUUGGAAAUAACUCAAAGCCAGAAAGAAAACAGGGCAUUGCGGAGGAAACUACUGGAAUCGAAGGUGGCACGGGAGCGCGCAGAAAGGACAACGCGAGAGCGCGUCCUCGCCAGUCGUCCCAGUAGUGUCAAGAUUGUCGAACGAUACAGAGGAAUGGCAAGAGGUGAAGGACAUCUCACUGGAGGCCACAGGAGCUUUGUGAAGCCAGUGGGACACAAUACUUGGAGAGAUGACCAACCAAUCACUGUUGAUGAGGGGAGUGGAACCUCAACCCAGCAAGUUAUCGUGACAGAGUCUGCAGAUGCAGAGGCUGAAGAUCCCGGUGUCAAGCUAGAGAGGUCUGAAGGAGAGGAGGACCCAUGGCACAGCAGAGACAUCCAAACUGGAACGGCUGAAGCGCCCCAUGUAAACAGAAAAGACCCAACCGCCCCAGCACAGCCAAGGACCCGACGCAGCAUCACGGAGGUCAGUGGAAUGUUGAACGCCGUCCUCAAGUCAGAGACAGACACCAAGACUUUAACUGUAACACACAGUCUCUUACACACAGGAUGUGACCACAGAUCAGAUCCAGAGAGACUGGGGCUGGGGAGACUGGGCUGUCCUCCUGCUCCCGGCUCAGAGUACUUACCAGUAUUUCAACAGAGCCAGAGAACGGUUAAUUCCAGUGGGGAUGGUAACUCGUUAGACACUAGUGGUGAUGAUUCAUCUUGUUCUUACGCUACAGAGAUGGACCCUGGCAACAUAUCCUUGGGUUUAGAGACACAAACUCAUCUGUCCAGAGGGGACUGGAACCGGUACAGUAGCAGUGUAUACUCUGAAGGGUGCCUAGAUAAGAAAGGGGAGGGUCUGGUUGUAGAUGAAGUGACCAUGAAAGUGGAGGGCGACGUUGAGUCAAAUCAAAUCAAAUCAAACGUUCCUCCCACAUGGAAUGCAAAUAGUCACCUAGUAGACAGACACUCACAGGGCAGAGAUUUCUUAAAUUACAGGGGAAGCUUAGAGACAAAUCCAAAUGUCACGACCCACUCCCCUUUACACACGUUCAGGGAUCAUGACCAAGUGUCUACGUCGAUGGGGCCUUCCGAUUUACACAGCCGUGUCCUUUUCGAUCAGGUAUUGAAUUCAAACGACAGGGCUAAAGCCCAGACUCGGGGAGGGGUAACCACAUCAGGCAAUAGCAAAGAGAAACGGUUCCUCUGCAUGUUCUGUAACAAAGGCUUCAGCUGCCUCCAGAAGGUGGAGGUCCACCAGAGGAUCCACACAGGGGUGAAACCCUUCAGCUGUACCCAGUGUCACAUGCGCUUCUCCCAGGCUGGCACCCUGAAGAGGCACCAGAGGGUCCACACAGGGGUGAAACCCUUCAGCUGUACCCAGUGUAACAUGCGCUUCGCCCAGGCUGGUGACCUGAAGAGGCACCAAAGGGUCCACACAGGGGAGAAACCCUACAGCUGCCCCCAGUGUGAGAAGAGAUUUACCCGCCAGCACCAGCUGAAGAUGCACAUGAAGGUCCACACGGGAGAGAGGCCAUUCGCCUGUACGCAUUGUGGGAAGAGAUUCUCAGAUAGGAGCUACCUCAGGAUACACCAGCAGAAAAAACAUUCCACUCAAUAGCUUCAGACGUUUAGAUGUAUUAAAUAUAAAGAUUCAUUUUCAUUGUUGUCAGCAGAAAGGACCCACAGAUGCAUUUGGAAUAAUGCGAGUAGCAGAUUUCAGUGUUGAAUAUUCCUGGGUAGAAUAUUGCAUCCAGACAUGUGAUAUAUAUUUUAGGCAUAUUUGUGCCGAAAAAGUCUGUUACAUAUUGUGUUUGUACUGUGUAGGCCAGGGAUGGGCAGCAUUGAUGGGUGUGGGAGCCACACAAAAAAUCGCCCUAGCCUUUUGGGGGCCCUAAGCUAUAUUUUGCGAGUAAAGCAUUUUAGCAAAGAAAAAAAAAAUCCUGCAAUUCUACACAUUUUGUCAUGGGGCAUAGAGAAAAUGUUGCAAUUUUUAAGCAAGUUUUCUGCAAUUCUACACAUUUUUGCCAUGAGGUGGAUAGAAGAUUUUUAAUGAUUUUUAAUUUUUUAAUGUAAUUUUAUGCAAUUCUACGCAUGAUCAUGAGGGCCCUCAGGUCAGUAAUUAAAUCAUGAAUGCUACAAGUUUGGAAAUAAUAUGCAUUUUGCCAGAGGGUGGAAACAACUGCUUGCAGUUUUUUAUAUGAUAUCUAACGAUCAAUUGGUUGCCCCCUGUCAGUAAUUCGGCCAUGAUUACUACAAGUUUAGAUAGCUUGGGGGGGGGGGGGGUUAAUCCAUAGACAAAAGGGUUGCCCAUCCCUGGUGUAGACUAUAUGUGACGCGCUCUAUAAUAAUCAGUCGGAAGUAGCAAUUACUAAUUUGCAUAUAAAUUGUGUUUUUGUCGAAAUUGAGAUUUUUUGCUAUUUGGGGGUUUCAUCUGGUUUUAACAAAACAAUGUCUUUGCUUUCAUCAUCUGUAUGUGUUAUUGCCAAAUUCAGUAUGAAUAUAGUUUUUAAUCCUUUAAACGUAGGAUGAAACGUAGCACUUUCCAAUCCGUUUGGUGGAUGCUAGCUUGUAACACAUCAGGCUUUUGAGGCACUAGCUUAUCUGCACUAUCAAAAUCCUCAUCUAUUCCGAAAUCAUGAAUGAAUUACAAACUAGCUAGCUCACUAUAUAGCUUAAAUCAAGCUACAAUAAGCUAUUCAAUCGGAUGAUUUUCCUGUUUUCCCAAUCAAAGCUACUGUAGUGUAUCAUCCGCGGGAAAAGGCUACACUCUCUCGCUCAUAAAGACCCACCAUACAUAGUUACACUGUCACUACUGCCUACACCGUAGCUAGUUAGCUUUGCUUUCAACUGCACUGAUGGAUUUCCGGGAGAGAAAAAUCGCAAGAUUUUUAAAUAGUAAUGUUGUGCUGGGAGCUGGUUCAGACGAUCAGUGGCAUCAACUUAUUGCCGACUACUUUUUGACCCUGCGCCACAGAGCAAUGACAUAAGCGACUCAGACAAGCUCACUGAAGUCGAGGCCGAGCACCUUGAGGAGGCAACCGAGGAAGACCACCUGUGCACCUGUUAAUGGUGAAUCGAUCAAUGACGGCGCUUCAGUCGGUCGAGGGGAAAUAUGUCAGUGGUGCUGGGCAAGAAAUUGAAAAGGAUUGCGAGUUCAGGUGAACGUGCAAGGCCAAUAAAGGGAAGCUGUGAUAUUUGGUUUUUACCCCCGAGGAGAUGGUCAAGAGAUGUGACCAGAUGAAUUAGCUAACUCACCAAUGAUGAAAAACAUCUAGUGCUCAUUGGCAAGAUCUCUGGUUCCAUGAACCUCUGCAAGGAAAUGGUUAUCUCGAACCGGAACUAACAAAACGAAAACAUCAGAGGACAUAUUUCUUUGAGCAAAUCUGCAGAGAAACAUUCAAGUUCCGACACGCGUAAGUUUUCAUUUGAGUAAUACAACCUGAUGUCCUCUGUUCUUAUUGGGGCUGCAACAGUAUUAACAAGUUCAUGAGAUAUUUAAGAAAAAAUGAGUAGUAGGCUAAAUCAUGAAUAGAAAUAAAACAGCUGAGAAUACAUUGUGCCUUUCAGCACAUUUUAACAGGCAUGUUUAAAAAUGUCAGAAUUUCUACAAAAAGCUGACUGCAGUGAUAAAGUUCUAUAGUUCUAUGGAUCGUGAUAAGGCUCCAAGGAAAAAAGAGGUGUGGUGGUCAUCUCGCCAGAAAACAGGUGCUGUCCUACGAGGACACUCAGUGAAUUGUCCACUAUGUCAACAACUUCACCAAUAUCCACGCGGUGCCGCUCCCAGGACAGAUCCCUGGAUUUAAGAAGUCAGACAUCCUGAUGCUACUGACAUUUUGAGACCAAAGUCCUGUGUGUGGCGCUAGUACAAAAACGUUCAUGCGUGAUCAUGGUGAGUGUUUUCCUAAAUCUCUAUACUUAUAUUUGUACCAAACGCUCGUCAGCUCAAGCCAGUGACAAAGACUCUAGCCAAAGCCCACACGAAUCGGAUCCAAAGAGACAGUCGGACCUUACUCUCUGGUGACGCAGUGGUGUAGUCAGAUUUUCUUUAACGUUUCUCAUUUUAGUUGUUGCUUAGAGACCAGGACUUACUCUGACCAUUUUUAGCUCAUUCUGUUGCUUGUACACUACAUUACCAAAAGUAUGUGGACACCUGCUCGUUAAACAUCUCAUUCUAAAACCAUGGGCAUUAAUAUGGAGUUUGUCCCCCCUUUGCUGCUAUAACAGCCUCCACUCUUCUGGGAAGGCUUUCCACUAGAUGUUGGAACAUUGCUGUGGGGACUUGCUUCCAUUCAGCCACAAGAGCGUUAGUGAGGUCGGGCACUGAUGUUAGACGAUUAGGCCUGGCUCGCAGUCUGCGUUGUAAUUCAUCCCAAAGGUGUUUUGAUGGGGUUGAGGUCAGGGCUCUGUGCAAACCAGUCAAGUUCUUCCACACUAAUCUCGACAAACCAUUUCUAUAUGGACCUCGCUUUGUGCAGGGGGGCAUUGUCAUGCUGAAAUAGGAAAGUUGUAAGCACAGAAUCAUCUAGAAUGUAAUUGUAUGCUGUAGCAUUAAGAUUUUCUUUCACUAGAACUAAGGGGCCUAGUCCAAACCAUGAAACACAGCCCCAGACCAUUAUUCCUUCUCCACCAAACUUUACAGUUGGCACUAUGCAUUGGGGCAGGUAGCAUUCUCCUGGCAUCCGCCAAACCCAGAUUCUUCCGUUGGACUGCCAGAUGGUGAAGUGUGAUUCAUCACUCCAGAGAACGUGUUUCCACUGCUCCAGAGUCCAAUGGCGCCGUGCUUUACACCACUCCAGCCGACGCUUAGUGUUGCGCAUGGUGAUCUUAGGCUUGUGUGCGGCUGCUCUGCGGCUGCUCGGCCAUGAAAACCCAUUUCAUGAAGCUCCCAACAAACAGUUCUUGUGCUGACGUUGCUUCCAGAGGCAGUUUGGAACUCAGUAGUAAGUUCUGCAACUGAGGACAGACGAUUUGAGCUUCUCAUUCUUUGAGCUCGUGUGGCCUCCCACUUCGCGGGUGAGCCGCUGUUGCUCCUAGACGUUUCCACUUCACAAUAACGGCACUUACAGUUGACAGGGGCAGCUCUAGCAGGGCAUAAAUUGUACGAACUGACUUGUUGGAAAUGUGGCAUCCUAUGACCGGGCCAUAUUGAAAGUUACUGAGCUCUUCAGUAAGGCCAUUCUACUGCCAAUGUUUGUCGAUGGAGAUUGCAUGGCUGUGCGCUCUAUUUUAUACACCUGUCAGAAACGGGUGUGGCUGAAAUAGCUAAAUUCAGUCAUUUGAAGGGGUGUCCACAUUCUUUUGUAUACAUAGUUUAUGUGUACAAUUGUGUGUGUGUGUGUGUGUGUGUGUGUGUGUGUGUGUGUGUGUGUGUGUGUAAGUGAAAAAGAAGAGCAUGGGCACUGGUCAAUGGAUUUCAUGUAUUGUUUUGUAAUUAAGUAAAUAGUUGUUGUUCAUUAUUUGAAUAAAUGUCUUAAAAGUAAUUGCAAACGUUAACUGCGUUUUUCUCAAAAACAUGAUUUGGUGAUACUCUGCAUGUAAUGGCACGUAACUUUCUUGUAAUUUGGAGUAGAGUGAUCAUGAUGGUCUCGGUAGAAAGCUAACAUUCUCCUUUUUCCAGCACUGUGUUUUGGGGUCAAUGUGACUGAUUAUGAUAAAGCGAGUCACAUAUCAUGUUCACAAAUGCCUACUUCAUUAUUUCCAUUUAACUACUUCAUUAUUUUCCCAAAACACUUUUAAUGAGAAAAUGAAUGCAGUUCAUCAAGUUCAUGGCGAUUUUAAAUAUAAAUAUAUAAUAAAAUGUAUGUGAUUUUCAUAUGGUGUAUUGAACACUUGUUUAUGUUUAAUAAAACAAUUGGACUUUUCAUUCUAA